rnacentral:misc_RNA from 1 species
GAAAUGCGAUAACUAGUGUGAAUUGCAGAAUUCCGUGAAUCAUCGAGUCUUUGAACGCACAUUGCGCCCCCUGGUAUUCCGGGGGGCAUGCCUGUCCGAGCGUCAUUGCUGCCCAUCAAGCACGGCUUGUGUGUUGGGUCGUCGUCCCCUCUCCGGGGGGGACGGGCCCCAAAGGCAGCGGCGGCACCGCGUCCGAUCCUCGAGCGUAUGGGGCUUUGUCACCCGCUCUGUAGGCCCGGCCGGCGCUUGCCGAACGCAAAUCAAUCUUUUUCCAGGUUGACCUCGGAUCAGGUAAGGAUACCCGCUGAACUUAAGC